rnacentral:ribozyme from 11 species
GAAAGGAAAAGAAGACACGCUCCUAAUAAAAGAAAAGAAAGAAAAGGGAAAACUAUGAUUGCAUCUGCAGAUGCCAGUUUUCCUCUUUCUUUUCUUU